UUCUACUCCUAACCUGAUGCAGGACU
rnacentral:piRNA from 1 species